rnacentral:lncRNA from 1 species
AUGUUUCCUGACACCAAACAGGCAGAUAGUCAGAGUUCAGGAGAUGAAGGUCGGCGGCAAGACUUAAAUAGCAUUAAAGACAUGGUUCUUAACCCAGUCACGUGCCUCCAUCUGGACGAUGUUAUACUUUUUAUCGUUGAUACACUUCACUACCCUCAAUAUGAUAUAAACAAUCUGUACAACACAAACAGUGUCUUUGAUUGGGGCACGUUUGAAAUACUAAAAGAAGAGCUGAGUCUGUCAUGGACGCCCCCAAAGUUUUUUUCAGUGGUUUUUAUGCAGCCUGGAGUCUAUGUGUUCACACUGAGCAGCCAUCAGUACAAACAUCUGUAUGUGCGAGUGAUGCCUGAAGGAGCCCAAUGUUAUGAGCCUGGCCCCUUCUUCCCACCCACCCCUCACCAUAUGACCAGAAUGGGAAUCAGUAGGAGACGCGACCUGUUGUUGCGGCCAGACUGGCUAGUGACAGGAGGAAUUCUAUGUGGAGCUGUGUUCAUCCUCUGUCUUUGUGUUACAGUCCUGAUCCUGUUUCGUGAAUAUGGAUGGCCGGAAAAGGUGCCAAUCCAAGCACAGUAUCGGAGGUUGCAACUGUCCUACCUAAUGGAUGACUACUCGUCUAAAGGUUCAAGAGUGAUAUUGCUUCAGAAGACCCACCGGAAUCAGCAAGCCAGAGUGACACAAGACUCAGUUUGUGCAGACACCCUGGAUGACUUCUGGGAUUACGAACAGCAGGUGGAUCUGGAGGCUUUCUGCAGCAGCACUUUUUACAACCUUCUGAUGAAACAGAGCCUGUCAAUCACUUCAAAGCUGGGACAGCUGACCUCUGAGGUAAAGGAACUGUACCAAGGAGUGCUUGGGAAACUCCAGCUGCUCCACCCACAGCUGCUCACAGAGGAAAAGGUGGCAGAAGGCUACGAGAUGCUGAGGAGGGAAAUAGACCAAGAGGUGGUGCAACGAAAGUCAUUGGGCUCUCAGCUGAGGGCCCUGCUCGACGGCCAGCUACAGGCUCUGAGGAGAGAACAGCAGGCCCAGCAGAAGGUCCACAGUGUGUUCACGUCUCAGCUCAGAGAGUGCACCAGACUACUAUCCAAAAUUGACAACAACAACCAACAAUCCUGUGAACUGAGUCAGCAAAUUUUGAUCCAGAGGCUAACAACUCUGGUGGGCGAGAUGGGAGAACUGGUGUUAGUUGAAUGCCAGCGUCAGGGGAGCUGGGGCUUAUUGGGUGAGGGUACAGGGGCCAAGCUGCUCUGCCCCGACACAGGAAAUGUCCUGACCAAGAAUGACCUCUUUGAUCCGGAUGGGUCUCUAAGUGCCUCUCAUGCUGUUUACUGUGAUUCAGUCACAGGACUCAUCAGGCCCAAUGCCCAAAGUCAUAUGUUGCUGAGCAAUGGUCACACAAUGGCUGUGCCACCAGAUUUUUGCAUUCACCCUCACACUGGUAGAGUUCUUCCCAUCAUUGGUAAUGUGGCCUAUGAUCCUGUCAGCUCUACUCUAGUGUUCACCACAGAUCUUUACGCAGAUGACAACAGGAAGUGGGACACUCCCGUUCUUGCUUUCAUUCCUUAUCCAAUGUUAAGUCACUCAGACCUACCUUUACCAAGUUCUCGGCUCAAAGGCCUUAAACCAGGUCAAAGACCUCAGCUGUGCACCCCCAUGGCAGAACCAGAAACAGGAGUCCCAGUACCCAUACUGGCAGUUACUAUCCACCCCCAGACUGGACUGGUUUACCCACUGGGAAAGCUGCAUUUGUGCCCAGUCACACGCAUUCCACAGCCUAUACAGAUUGGUUAUCCCAUACUGGACUCCAGAACUGGGAACCUUGUUCUCACUGUUGGAGUCACAUUGGAUCCAGUUAAAGGGGAUGUGUUGCCUGUUGGUGGAGUCCUAUUGGCUGAGCCCUUCAUCGAACCUUUGAGUGGGCACUUGGUGAAGGUUGCAGGAGCCACCAUACGGGGAGGACUAGUGGUUCCUUCUGCAGGAGGAUACCAGAAUAUACUAGACAACAAGGUUCUGGCAAUGAUGCACAAAAUAUUUGGUCAUCUGAAGCCACUUGCUGAGGUGUGGGGUUCCGAUCCAAACUUGCAGCUUCUGCAGACUAAUUCUGACAGUGAAAGUUCAUGCAGGCGUCAGGACUUGGUAAUGUCUGCUGCUAAGGAGCUUCACCAGGCGUGGGUACGGAGUCUUCACUGGCAGCUGCAGCUGCAGAGCAGGUUGGAGAUUCUUCUGGACUGGUCCGUUUGUCUUCAGGAGAAUGGAGGAGUUCUUGGUUACUUGCUUGUGUCUACAGCUCAAUGUCCUGCUUGUUUGAGCACCUGAAUCAACGUUAACUAAAGAAAGUCUGGCCUGAGCUGUAGCUGAUAGGCCAAUAUUAGCCCUGAAUAAAAAAAAAAUGGUUAAGGUAUGAAUACAGUAUGUACAUGUUUUUUCCUGCACAGCAUAAAGUUCUCCUGUGCUUUACAAACAAGGAGAAAUGCCACUGCCGGGGUCUGACGGAAGCGUGCCAGCUCUACUGGGCAUGGAGUACCCUGACCCGAUGGGUUCUGGUCUAGGUGUACAAGUGCUGGGUUGUCAAGCUGACUGGUCUGGCAAAACAGUACCACUAGCAGGCACCAUGGAGGACCCUGAUGGAAAAGGCUUAGUGGCGAUUCGUUAUGGUUCCCAAACCAUUGACCCAGUGACAGGCCUUUUGAGUACUGUGGUUGGAGCAAGACUGGAUCCCAUCAAAAAACACACAGUUCCCAUUACAGCUUCCUACUGGCUAAUGGAGACAGGUCAGAGCAGCAGUUUACAGGUAGAGGCACUGCAGAGAGAAGUUUGUUUACGCAACACUUAUUGGCAACAGCAAAAGCAACGGGAGGAGGAUAUUCUGAGUGAUGUGGACUCGUCUCUACACCAAUGUCUCCUUCGGUUAGCAGAAACGAACUUAGCCCAGCAGCUCCAGUGGUCCGGGAGGCAACAGCUGGAUGCAGCUGUGGAGCUGCACGAUUCAGCACAGAUUGAAGCUCAGAGGAAAGCUGCUCAGCGGCCCGUCCUGGAUCUGGUCCUCCCUUUGCAUGUGUCUCACAUCCUUACUCUGGGAGAUGAAGAUGAAUGGGACCAGCAGUGUAUAUGGCACUCAGUCCUCCUGUCUGGCCUGGAGAAGCUGGAAAUCUGUAUGUAUGAGCUGCAGCAAGACCAGGAAAAAGAGAGAUUACAAACUAAAGACUGGCCUACAAACCUCAACGCUAUGGAGAGAGAACAGAGACAGAGAGAGCUGUGUGAACAGAUCUGCUGUAGACAGACAGAGCUGCAUGCUGCUCUCAGUGCACUGCACUCCAUCAGAGUCCUGUCUCAGCUUCGGACUAUCGUGGCUAAGGAAGUCUUGUGCAGGAAUCUUUGGUUUAGGGAAUAUGGUUUGAUCCAACACACCACAUGCAGACUGAAUAUGAGAGCCACGGGUUUGCUUCACUUUUCUGCAUUGCCUCUAAUAGAAAAACUGAUCCAGCUCCUGGAAGAAAAGCAGUCAGCUAGCUUUUCCUCAAGUGUCUGCAAUCAACAAGUCACUGAGAGCCUGCAGCAAAUAAAAGAAACAGUUCAGCCUACACAGAUCUCUGUACCCACAAUAACAGAGGAGCAGUGGAGGAGCCUGUUGGAGCGCUCUCCACUUUUUCAGCAGCUGAAGGGGGUGGAGCUACAGCUGAAGGGCUGGGCUUGUAGGGCAGGACUUCAGGGAAAGGUCAAUGAUGGAGUUAAAUAUUUCAUAGAUGUCCUCGAUGCUCAGUGGGAAUGUGAAGGAGAGCUCAUUCCUUUGGAUCCAUCCACCCUGAAGCCCAGAGAGUUCCUGGUCUACAAACAUGGAUUAUUUCUGAUUCACUCCCUGCAUAAUCUGCAAUUGGGGAGCAGGAAGCAAGACCAGACACAGCAGGACAUGAGGAGGGAGACAACGAACCUGACAACAUCAACGAACAAGCAACCACACUGUGACAAAGUCAUUUUUCUUCACUGUAAAGGCAGGAUGCUGAAAUUUGCCUCCACAGAUUGUUUGAAAAAGGUUGUUAUAGAGUCAUUUCUGAACAAAAUGAGUCAUGGAGAGUGAUUCUCCGUGUUUAAAUUCAAGUAAACGCUAUGUGGAGAUGAGGAUCGAGAGCUGACAGCUGUUGCAGUGGCCAAGUGUUGAAUGUAUUUUAUAAAAUCUACAAUCUGUAUAAUGUGACAAAGCAAUAAAACAAUGAACAUGUAUGUGAACUGUCUCA